UACCUGGUUGAUCCUGCCAGUAAUCAUAUGCUUGUCUCAAAGAUUAAGCCAUGCAUGUCUAAGUACAUGCCGAAAUAAGGCGAAACCGCGAAUGGCUCAUUAAAUCAGUUAUGGUUCCUUAGAUCGUUUCUUCCUACUUGGAUAACUGUGGCAAUUCUAGAGCUAAUACAUGCAGUGAGCCUGAAGCCCUUUGGGCGACGGGUGCUUUUAUUAGACCAAGAUCGAUCGGGUUUCGGCCCGUAUUGUGUGGUGACUCUGGAUAACAUUGUGCUGAUCGCAUGGCCACGAGCCGGCGACGUUUCUUUCAAGUGUCUGCCUUAUCAACUUUCGAUGGUAGGUUACUUGCUUACCAUGGUUGUUACGGGUAACGGAGAAUCAGGGUUCGAUUCCGGAGAGGGAGCCUGAGAAACGGCUACCACAUCCAAGGAAGGCAGCAGGCACGCAAAUUACCCACUCGCGGCACGGGGAGGUAGUGACGAAAAAUAACAAUACGGGACUCUUUUGAGGCCCCGUAAUUGAAAUGAGUACACUCUAAAUCCUUUAACGAGGAUCAAUUGGAGGGCAAGUCUGGUGCCAGCAGCCGCGGUAAUUCCAGCUCCAAUAGCGUAUACUAAAGCUGCUGCGGUUAAAAAGCUCGUAGUUGGAUCUCAGUUCCAGACGAGUAGUGCAUCUACCCGAUGCGACGGCUCGGACUGAACAUCAUGCCGGUCCUUUCUUGGUGCACUUCAUUGUGUGCCUCGAGAAGGCCGGUGCUUUUACUUUGAAAAAAUUAGAGUGCUCAACGCAGGCGAGUCGCCUGAAUAAACUUGCAUGGAAUAAUAGAACAAGACCUCGUUUCUGUUCUGUUGGUUUUUGGAAUACGAGGUAAUGAUUAAGAGGGACAGACGGGGGCAUUCGUAUUGCGGCGCUAGAGGUGAAAUUCUUGGACCGUCGCAAGACGAACUACUGCGAAAGCAUUUGCCAAGAAUGUUUUCUUUGAUCAAGAACGAAAGUCAGAGGUUCGAAGGCGAUCAGAUACCGCCCUAGUUCUGACCAUAAACGAUGCCAACCAGCGAUCCGCCUGAGUUACUCAAAUGACUCGGCGGGCAGCUUCCGGGAAACCAAAGUGUUUGGGUUCCGGGGGAAGUAUGGUUGCAAAGCUGAAACUUAAAGGAAUUGACGGAAGGGCACCACCAGGAGUGGAGCCUGCGGCUUAAUUUGACUCAACACGGGAAAACUUACCCGGCCCGGACACUGGGAGGAUUGACAGAUUGAGAGCUCUUUCUUGAUUCGGUGGAUGGUGGUGCAUGGCCGUUCUUAGUUGGAGGAGCGAUUUGUCUGGUUAAUUCCGAUAACGAACGAGACUCUAGCCUAUUAAAUAGGUGCGGGGUUCCCAGCACCUUACAACCUUCUUAGAGGGACAAGCGGCUCCUAGCCGCACGAAACAGAGCAAUAACAGGUCUGUGAUGCCCUUAGAUGUCCGGGGCCGCACGCGCGCUACACUGAAGGAAGCAGCGUGUCUUUAUCCCUGUCUGAAAAGACUGGGUAACCCGUGGAACUUCUUUCGUGAUUGGGAUAGGGGCUUGCAAUUGUUCCCCUUGAACGAGGAAUUCCCAGUAAGCGCGAGUCAUAAGCUCGCGUUGAUUACGUCCCUGCCCUUUGUACACACCGCCCGUCGCUACUACCGAUUGAAUGAUUUAGUGAGGUCUUCGGACCGAUGUCCGGCGCGGCCUUUCGGUUGCGCCGGUCUGUUGGAAAGAUGACCAAACUUGAUCAUUUAGAGGAAGUAAAAGUCGUAACAAGGUUUCCGUAGGUGAACCUGCGGAAGGAUCAUUA
rnacentral:rRNA from 1 species